CCUACGGGAGGCAGCAGUGGGGAAUAUUGGACAAUGGGCGCAAGCCUGAUCCAGCAAUGCCGCGUGAGUGAUGAAGGCCUUCGGGUCGUAAAGCUCUUUUACCAGGGAUGAUAAUGACAGUACCUGGAGAAUAAGCUCCGGCUAACUCCGUGCCAGCAGCCGCGGUAAU
rnacentral:rRNA from 2 species